rnacentral:rRNA from 1 species
AAAGGAAUAGACGGGGACUCGCACAAGCGGUGGAGCAUGCGGUUUAAUUCGAUGCAACGCGAAGAACCUUACCAGGUCUUGACAUCCCAUUGACUUAGCUAGAGAUAGUUAUUUCCUUCGGGACAAUGGAGACAGGUGGUGCAUGGUUGUCGUCAGCUCGUGUCGUGAGAUGUUGGGUUAAGUCCCGCAACGAGCGCAACCCCUAUCAUUAGUUGCCAUCAUUUAGUUGGGCACUCUAAUGAGACCGCCGGUGACAAACCGGAUGAAGGUGGGGACGACGUCAAAUCAUCAUGCCCCUUAUGACCUGGGCUACACGCGUGCUACAAUGGCUAGUACAAAGAGUUGCGAUACCGCGAGGUUGAGCUAAUCUCAUAAAACUAGUCUCAGUUCGGAUUGUAGUCUGCAACUCGACUACAUGAAGUUGGAAUCGCUAGUAAUCGCGAAUCAGAAUGUCGCGGUGAAUACGUUCUCGAGUCUUGUACACACCGCCCGU